GUGGGGAAUCUUCCGCAAUGGACGAAAGUCUGACGGAGCGACGCCGCGUGAGUGAAGAAGGCCUUCGGGUCGUAAAGCUCUGUCAUCAGGGACGAACGGCCGGUGGAGUGGAAAGCCACCGGAUUGACGGUACCUGAGAAGGAAGCCACGGCUAACUACGUGCCAGCAGCCGCGGUAAUACGUAGGUGGCAAGCGUUGUCCGGAAUUAUUGGGCGUAAAGCGCGCGCAGGUGGGAUCUUAAGUCCAUUUUUAAAGUUCGGAGCUCAACUCCGUGAUGGGAUGGAAACUGGGAUUCUUGAGUACCGGAGAGGAAAGCGGAAUUCCCCGUGUAGCGGUGAAAUGCGUAGAUAUGGGGAGGAACACCAGUGGCGAAGGCGGCUUUCUGGACGGUGUCUGACACUGAGGCGCGAAAGCUAGGGGAGCGAACGGGAUUAGAUACCCCUGUAGUCC
rnacentral:rRNA from 1 species